UACGGAGGGUGCAAGCGUUUAAUCGGAAUUACUGGGCGUAAAGCGUGCGUAGGCGGUUCGUUAAGUCUGUUGUGAAAGCCCCGGGCUCAACCUGGGAAUGGCAAUGGAUACUGGCGAGCUAGAGUGUGUCAGAGGAUGGUGGAAUUCCCGGUGUAGCGGUGAAAUGCGUAGAGAUCGGGAGGAACAUCGGUGGCGAAGGCGGCCUUCUGGACAGUGACUGACGCUGAGACGCGAAAGCGUGGGGAGCAAACAGG
rnacentral:rRNA from 1 species